rnacentral:rRNA from 1 species
UACGAAGGGGGCUAGCGUUGCUCGGAAUCACUGGGCGUAAAGGGUGCGUAGGCGGGUCUUUAAGUCAGGGGUGAAAUCCUGGAGCUCAACUCCAGAACUGCCUUUGAUACUGAAGAUCUUGAGGUCGGGAGAGGUGAGUGGAACUGCGAGUGUAGAGGUGAAAUUCGUAGAUAUUCGCAAGAACACCAGUGGCGAAGGCGGCUCACUGGCCCGUAACUGACGCUGAGGCACGAAAGCGUGGGGAGCAAACAGG